rnacentral:rRNA from 1 species
GACGGUGAGGGGCGAAAGCGUGGGUAGCAAACAGGAUUAGAUACCCUGGUAGUCCACGCCGUAAACGAUGAUAACUAGCCGUUGGGGGGAUUUACCCUUUAGUGGCGAAGCUAACGCGUUAAGUUAUCCGCCUGGGGAGUACGGCCGCAAGGUUAAAACUCAAAGGAAUUGACGGGGACCCGCACAAGCGGUGGAGCAUGUGGUUUAAUUCGAUGCAACGCGAAGAACCUUACCUGGUCUUGACAUCCUGCGAACUUUCUAGAAAUAGAUUGGUGCCUUCGGGAACGCAGUGACAGGUGCUGCAUGGCUGUCGUCAGCUCGUGUCGUGAGAUGUUGGGUUAAGUCCCGUAACGAGCGCAACCCCUAUCCUUAUUUGCCAGCACAUCAUGGUGGGAACUAUAAGGAGACUGCCGGUGAUAAACCGGAGGAAGGCGGGGACGACGUCAAGUCAUCAUGGCCCUUACGACCAGGGCUACACACGUGCUACAAUGGGAAGGACAAAGAGCCGCGAAGCCGCGAGGUGUAGCUAAUCUCAUAAACCUUUUCGUAGUCCGGAUUGGAGUCUGCAACUCGACUCCAUGAAGUCGGAAUCGCUAGUAAUCGUAGAUCAGAAUGCUACGGUGAAUACGUUCCCGGGUCUUGCACACACCGCCCGU